AUGGGGGGGACGGAUUUGGAGGACGUGGUGCUCUCCUGGUCGCUCCAGGAGAUCAACGACGACGACCUCUACAGGGGGAAGGUUGAGACUAUUCCCUGCAACUUCAAGUCACUUGAUCACUAUCUUGCAUCGUAUCGUGUGCCUCUGAUUGAAGAAACAAGGUCAGAUCUGUGCUCAUGCCUUGAACUCGUCAGUCAAGCACCCUCGUCGAAAAUACUUUCCAUGGAGGUAGCAGGAAAGUCGGGAUCAUACUUUAUGGAUGUGGACUUUUGGGACAAUGAUGCUGGUUUCUCUACUGGGGCUUAUUCUGCCAGGAAUGGUGACAUCUUUAUUUUGUCUAGCAUAAAACCUGAAGCUGCAGAGGACUUAAACCGCCAUGGUGUCACAUAUUGCUUGGCAAUGGUCACUGAGGUUUCUAUGGAUGAUGAAUACCAGAAGGGCUUCAGAGUCAAAGUUGAAAAGAAUAUUGACUUGGAAGAAGACUUGAACAAACUCAAACAUGCAAUAUUUCUCAAUAAUAUCACCACAAACAUACGUAUAUGGAAAGCACUUACCUUUGGUGCACACAUGAAUGACAAUUUCACAAUAAUCAAGUCGCUCUUAGCCCCCACAAAUCUGGGUGAGGAUAUUUGCGGUAUGUGUGUAAAGCAGGAUGGGGGCUGUUUGGCUUCUUUCACAGAGCAAUUACUAUCGGUUAAGCUUAAUCAAUCACAAGUGGAUGCUAUUGAUUCUGUCAUCUCAGCUGUACAAUGUGGGCAUGUAAACCUCAUGAAGCUUAUAUGGGGUCCACCAGGCACUGGAAAAACCAAGACGGUUAGCGCUUUACUGUGGGUCUUGGCAUGUUUGAAAUGCAGAACUCUUACUUGUGCUCCCACAAAUGUUGUUGUUGUUGGAGUUUGCACUCGUUUCCUUGAAAACUUGAAGGAUUUCAAUGAGCACACUGACAACAUUGGUCUACCUUUUUCUCUUGGAGAUAUUUUGUUAUUUCGAAGUAGGUCUAACAUGGACAUCACAGAGGAUCUUCAGGAAGUUUUCUUGGAUUUUCGUGUCGAUGAACUUGUGGAAUGCUUUUCAUCGUCGUCUGGAUGGAACUACAGAAUAGCUUCAAUGAUAUCCUUUUUUGAAGACUCUGCUUCACGGUAUGAUAUGCUUCUUGAGGAUGAUGGCAAAAUUGAUCCAGUGUGCUUUUUGGACUUCGUAAAGAAGCAAUUUGAUGUGAUAGCAGUAGCUCUGAAAAGAUGCAUCAUGAAUUUGUGGGUUCACCUACCUGGGAGGUGCUUUUCUUGUGACAGUGCCAUAAAUAUACCUACAUUGCUUCAUAUGCUGGAAAAUUUUGGUGCUCUUCUGUGCAACGUAGACUUGACUGCUGAGGGCUUAAAAAGGGGACUUGGUUGCCUGUCAACUGUGAACUCUGUUUGUGCACAACCUGUAUCUUCUAUUGAGAAGGAACUAGAUGGAGCAAGGUCUUCAUGCCUUAAAUUGCUAAAGGAUCUGCUACACUCGCUUAAUUUACCCACUGGAGUAAAUAAAAACUGGGUCCAGAACUACUGCAUAUGUAAUGCAACACUUCUUUUCUGUACUACCUCUAGCUCUUAUCGGUUACAUCACAUGGAGAUUGCACCCUUCGAAGUAUUAAUUGUUGAUGAGGCUGCUCAAGUGCGGGAGUGUGAAUUGGUGAUCCCACUACGUCUGCAUUGGUUAAAACAUGUUGUUUUGGUAGGAGAUGACUGUCAGCUGAGUGCAAUGGUUAAAAGCAAAGUAUGCAAAGAAGCUGGAUUUGCGACAAGUUUAUUUGGGAGAUUGGUUAUGCUCAAAUUUGAUAAGCAUUUGCUGAAUAUACAGUAUCGCAUGAAUCCUUGUAUCAGCUUAUUUCCAAAUGCCCAGUUUUAUGAGAGGAAGAUUUUAGAUGGUUCCAAUGUUCUGUCUCCUAGUUAUAAUAAGGAUUACACAUGCCUCCCUUUUGGGAGCUACACGUUUAUAAAUCUCACUGAUGGAAGGGAAGACACAGAGGGCACGGGAAACAGCCGCAGAAACAUGGUUGAAGUUGCUGUUGUUUUGCACCUAAUCCAUACCAUCUUUAAAUCUUGGAAAAGGACAGACCAAGGGCUCAACAUCGGUGUGGUCUCUCCAUAUAAUGCUCAAGUUGAUGCAAUUAAAAAUCGACUUGGCCAAAAAUAUGAUACAUGUGAUGGCUUUCAUGUGCGAGUGAAGUCCAUUGAUGGUUUCCAAGGAGAAGAGGAUGAUAUAAUUAUACUAUCAACUGUUAGAUCCAACGAGAGAGGAGUUGUUGGAUUCCUUGCUGAUAACCAAAGAACAAAUGUUUCUCUUACUAGAGCAAGGCACUGUCUUUGGAUUGUUGGGAAUGCUCAUACACUUUAUAAAAGUGGGACUGAAUGGACAGACCUUGUUGCUGAUGCGGAGAGACGUAAAUGUAUUUUCAGUGCCACUAAUGACGCAACCAUCUGUAAGUUGGUUUUGCAAGUAAAGCAACAGUUUGAUGAACUUGAGGAUCUUCUCAGUGCCGAUUCAGCGGUUUUCAGCAAUACAAGAUGGAAGGUCAUUCUUAGCCACGAGUUUAGAAAGUCUUUCACCAAACUAAAAUCACGACAGCUCAGGAAGGAAGUACUCCAAAAGCUUAUCAAACUUGGAGAUGGUUGGAGGACAACAGUCAAGAACCUUGACAUGCCUGGUGUUUCUUAUCUUGUAAAAGUAUACAAGAUCUGGGACUUGUAUCUUGUUUGGAGUACUGACAUUGAGAAAACCGAAAGAAGGUAUUCCCAGAUAAUAAGAAUUUGGGACCUACUGUCACAGCAAAAUGUUGCAAGAACUGUUCAACGUCUCGAGAAUCUAUUCUCCAUGUACACGGAUGAUUACCUGGAUCAUUGCAGGAGAGUGCAGACACAAGGGAAACUGGAGGUUCCUAUGGUUUGGGAUAUUGUGCAUGAUAUUAUCCGCUAUAACAAGGAUUGCAAAGCUGACGCUCAUGAAGAGCAUGAUUCCGUGGAUACAUCAUAUGGCAUGGAGAAUUCAAAAGUUAGUGAAAGCUUCCUGCUGAUGAAAUUCUACUCUUUAUCAUCUGGAAUGGCAAAGCAUUUGCUGACAGCUACUGAUGGGUCUGAAAUCAACAUCCCCUUUGAACUGACGGAUGAAGAGAAGGUGAUAAUUCAAUUCCCACUCACUAGUUUUAUACUUGGGAGGUCAGGCACUGGAAAAACCACUGUAUUGACAAUGAAACUGAUUCAAAAAGAGCAACAGUCAUUGAUUGCAUCCCAAGGUUUAAAUUUGGAUGGUGCUGAUUUAUCAGGGGUAGAUGACAAUAAUAUUAUGUUACCAAAGAAUGGAAGAGAAAGUUUUGUGAAACAAGUAUUUAUCACUGUAAGCCCAAAGCUAUGUUCAGCCAUAAAAGAUCACAUCUGCAGAUUUAAAAGAUUUGGCAUCGGUGAUGUCUCUGACCAGUCUAGCAUUCUUCACAUGCAUGACAUCAUGGAUGACCUGGAAGAGUUUACAGAAAUUCCUGACAGUUUUUGUGAUCUACCUCACGGGCACUAUCCUCUUACUAUAACAUACCACCUGACAAAAAAAUUUGCUGCGUCCACUGUCUUCACUGAAAUAAUUUCUCAUAUAAAGGGCGCAUAUCAAGCAAGCAGGCCUUGUACUGGCAAACUGGAAAGACAAGAUUAUGUGAUGCUCGCUGAUAAAAGAUUUUCAUCUUUGAACAAUGAGAUGAGAGAUAGAAUUUAUGAUAUAUUCCUCGAAUAUGAGAGUAUGAAAUGCACUGCCAGGGAGUUUGAUUUGUCAGAUUUCGUCAAUAGUCUUCACAGUAGUCUUGUAUCUGAGGGCUACAAUGGAGAUAUGGUGGAUUUUGUUUACAUAGAUGAGGUCCAGGAUCUCACCAUGACACAAAUAGCACUUCUUAAGUAUGUCUGUAUGAACAUCAAGGAAGGCUUCCUUUUUGCUGGUGACACUGCACAAACUAUAGCAAGGGGUAUCGAUUUCAGGUUUGAAGAUAUCCGUUCACUUUUUUAUACUGCAUUCCUCGCAGAAACUGAAGCGUCUAAUGAAGGACUUAAACAUGGUGAAAGAGUCCAUCUCUCAGAUAUGUUCCAACUAUCUCAGAAUUUCCGUACACAUUGUGGCAUCCUCCGUAUGGCACAAAGUAUCAUGAGCCUUCUGUACUUCUUUUUCCCGUCAAGUGUUGACAAGCUUAAUCCAGAGACUGGACUUGUACAUGGAGAAGCUCCUGUGCUGCUGGAGUCUGAUAAUGAUGAGAAUGCAAUUAUGACUAUUUUUGGAGAAAGUAAAAGUAAACAUGGUAACCUGCAUGGGUUUGGUGCUGAGCAAGUCAUAUUAGUUCGUGAUGAUGCUACCAAAAAACAAAUUAUUGAUCUUGUUGGUAAACAAGCUCUUGUUUUGACUAUUGUUGAAUGUAAGGGUCUUGAGUUUCAGGAUGUGCUGUUGUACAACUUCUUUGGUUCGUCGCCUUUAAGAAACAAAUGGAGAGUUCUCUACGGCUACAUGGAAGAUAAAGAUAUUAUAGCACACUCUGAGCAUAUCUCUCAUCCAGGUUUCGACAGAAGCAAGCAUUAUCUUCUCUGUUCAGAGCUGAAGCAACUCUAUGUUGCAAUCACACGCACUAGGCAAAGACUCUGGAUAUGUGAAAAUACAGAUGAUUACUGUCGACCAAUGUUUGACUACUGGAAGAAGUUGUGUAUUGUAGAAGUUAGAUCACUUGAUUCUACCCUCAUUCAGGCAAUGCAGACAGGGAGCAGCAGUGAUGAUUGGAGGCUACGGGGAACCAAGUUAUUCAAUGAGGGGCAAUUCGAAAUGGCUACUAUGUGUUUCGAAAAGGCCGGUGAUGCACACAGAGAGAAGUGGGCAAGAGCUGCUGGACUUGUAGCGACCGCUGACCGUGUCAUCUCAAAAAAUUUGGAGUUGGGCAAGGCUUCAUUGGAAACAGCAUCAGAGAUUUACGAGUCCAUAGGCAUGCAUGAGAAAGCUGCUACUUGCUAUAUCAAAUUAGGUGACUACAAAAAAGCAGGUAUGGUCUAUACGCAAAAAUGUGGUAUUUCUAGACUUGAGGAAGCUGGUGACUGUUUUGCUAGGGCUGAAUGCUGGUCGGAGGCAGCUGAAAUGUUUUUGAAAGCUAAAUGUUACACCAAGUGUUUCUCCAUGUGCUCGAAAGGAAAACAAUUAUACAAUCUGGGCUUGCAGUUUCUGCAACAGUUAGAGGAACAUUCACUUGAGAAUUCAAAAUCCUUGGAGGUUUUUGCAAUUAGAACGAAGUAUCUGGAUAAUUGCGCUCAACAUUAUUUUGAGCGUGGUGACAUAAAGCAUAUGAUGCCCUUUGUUAAAGCUUUCAGCUCUAUGGAUCACGUACGGACGUUCCUAAAUUCUAGAAAUCUUGUUGACGAACUGUUGAGUUUAGAGAUGGAAAUGGGUAAUUUCCUAGAAGCUGCAGGAAUAGCAAAGCAUAAAGGAGAUGUCUUACUGGAGGUAGACAUACUCGAGAAGGCAGAUUUGUUUGAGGAUGCAACACGGCUUCUCCUCCUCCAUAUCAUUGUGGGUUCCUUGUGGUCUUCAAAUAGUAGAGGGUGGCCUCCCAAAAGAUAUGCAGAGAAGGCACAGUUUCUUGCAAAAGCCAAAGAGUUGGCAAAAAAGGUCUCUGAGUGCUUCUACUGCUUUGUUUGCGUGGAAGCUGAUGCACUGUCAGAUGUGAAUAAGUCUCUUUCCAGUUUGAAUUGCACUUUGCUUGAGGGCAGAAAAUGUGCAAACUUGUUAGUUGAACUUGUUGCUUCCCGUUCGAUCCUUGAUGUUCAUCUGCAGUCUCGAGCCUCUGGAUACAAGAUAGAAUUAGGGCCAGGAUCUGAAGAUGAAAAUAGCUGUAAUGAUAUGCUGGCCUCUAACCAGAUGUCACCCCAAACUCUGUUUUAUGCCUGGAAUCACUGGAAGUCGAUCAUAAUCAAAGUACUAUCUCAUCUUUGCCACACCGAUGAUCCAGAAUUAAAUGGCUAUGCAGUUGUGUAUGAAGAUCUUUUUGCCAAGUACUUCGGAUUGAGAAAAGAUGGUGAAGGUGAUAGAUAUGUGGUGCUGAACAUGAAUGCAAGUUGGCUUUCCAACGCUGGCAGGAAUUCUUUGCAGCAAGACGGCAACAGAUGUUUAUUGGGUGCCUCCGAGUGUCAUUCAUGUGCUCAGUGUUUCUGGAUGAAUGAGCUGUCUUCUGUUGGUUUCAGUGUACUUAAGAAGUUGGAGUCAAUUGUUCAAAUUUCUCCAAAGCCGGCAUCUUGGUAUACCCUGGUGAGAACUGUCCUUAUCAUACAUGAGAUAGCAAAGUUUUUGGAAGAACCACAGUUCAGCAUGCCAAAAGGUUCCAUGAAGUUAAGAAGCUUUUUUGUUCUAUGUGGGCGUCGAUUCUUUGAGCUAGUUUUUCUUGUGUGGAGAGAUGGGACAAAGGGGAGCCUCUCGCAUGUACUUGACUCACCAGCUGCAUAUGGAUUGAUUGCUGAUUCUCUUAGUGCAAAUCUUCGCCCAGCAAAUAAAAAAUUGACUUAUGGGCAUCUUGGGAGAACAACCAUGCUUCUGCUUCAUGCAGCACAAUUGGAUGAAGCGCUGCUUUCAAGACUAUUACAGUACCUGGGCAAUAAUUCUGAGUGGGCAGGGUUUUUCCGAUAUUUCAAGAGAUUUCUUGACAGUGGUCGUGAUAGAUCCUCCUUGAUCUUCAACUUUAAGCUUGCUCUUGAGUUUACCUUAAGUGUAAAGUGGAAGGAUGAACUAGACUACAUAUCCCCAGGAUGCUAUGUGGGUCUUAUGGAGUGCCUUGGUUUCUUGGCUUCAUCAUGCUUAUUAGUACAGAAUGAUUUUAUGUGUUGCACGAAAUCUCUGUUGGUCAAUAUGCUGGAGUGCCGUACCAGCAAGGCUUUCAUUGACACCUUCCAGCAGGAAUGGGUACAUAAGACUUCAUGUCCUUCCAGUACUUCAUACAGAGCAGUCCUCCUGAGAUUAGUUGUUACACUUUAUCCUCUGAUCCUUACUCUUUCUCUGGGGAAGUGCUAUGAGGUCACACGUAACCUUGUGAGGAAUGAAGUCUUCAAGGAUUUACCUUUGGAGUUCUCUAAGAAGAUUCAAGAUGCUUUGAAAAUGAGGUCUCACACACCGAGCAACUUCAUAAGAGUGCUUGCUGAUGCACUUGCCUCAAUCGGAGAUCAUAUGGUAGUUAUUGGCUCACCCAAAAUCCCAGUAAUAUGUCGAAACUUGAAUGCCUAUAUGAUAAGCAAGGAGGAUUUGCAUGAUGUUCCGAAGAUAAUGGCUCUUCUGCGUCUUGAAGAACCAAGUUGUGUGAAGCAAGAGACUCCAUUGCCAGAAAAAUUUGAUGGCAGCAAGCGUCCUGAAGAACCAAGUUCUGUAAAGCAAGAGACUCCAUUGCCAGAAAAUUCUAAUGGUAGCAAGUUCAAAAAUGUUAUUUCUGGAAACAUUCCUGUGAAUGUAGAGUUAGUAAAGAUAGGAAUCAGUUCGAGAAAGAAAAAAUCAACUGAUGUCCUUGUGCCUGUAGAGGUAUUAAAGGUAGAGGGUUCGAGAAAGACAGAUUCAACUGGUAUCUUUGACACUCUCUGGAAGAAGCUUGAUACUUUUCUACGCGAUGAGGAAGGCCAGAAAGAUGCAAGGGUUGUCAUUCAAUUUCUUAGAGAUGCCCUUCCAUGGCUGGAAACAGGCGUUCUAGCAUUGGUUGAUAAAGAGCUUGAUGAACACUAUCUGGAAGAGAUCAAGCACAUCUGCAGUGAGUUCGAAAAACUUCCUGAUAGGACGGACAAAAAAGCUGUGGAUGAUCUAUACUCGAAGUGGGAAGGUGCUGGGAAGACACUGCAGCAGGUCAUCCGCCUUGUGAUUGGUUCAGGGUCAUGCACGGAUGGUUGUUGCCAAUGCCAGGAUGAGAGGCGCGAGGGGAAAGACCCCAGGCUCUGCCUCCUGAAGUUGCCCACAGACUGCGUAUUCAAAGCUUGCCCAGAUGACGAGCGGGCUGGCACGGGAGAAGCUGCCUCGACUUCAACAAAGGCGGCGGCGCAGAAGCAGAAGAGCAAGAAGAAAUCCAAGAGGACGAAGAAGCCCGACAAGGGGCGUGGCAAGAAGUGA
rnacentral:rRNA from 1 species